rnacentral:rRNA from 1 species
UACGGAGGGGGCUAGCGUUGUUCGGAAUUACUGGGCGUAAAGCGCACGUAGGCGGCUUUGUAAGUUAGAGGUGAAAGCCUGGAGCUCAACUCCAGAAUUGCCUUUAAGACUGCAUCGCUUGAAUCCAGGAGAGGUGAGUGGAAUUCCGAGUGUAGAGGUGAAAUUCGUAGAUAUUCGGAGGAACACCAGUGGCGAAGGCGGCUCACUGGCUCGAUACUGACGCUGAGGUGCGAAAGCGUGGGGAGCAAACAGG